rnacentral:rRNA from 1 species
AGUGAACGCUGGCGGUAGGCCUAACACAUGCAAGUCGAACGGCAGCACAGUAAGAGCUUGCUCUUACGGGUGGCGAGUGGCGGACGGGUGAUGAAUAUAUCGGUAUCUACUUUUUCGUGGGGGAUAACGUAGGCACUCAUACGCUAAUACUGCUUACGAACUACGGGUGAAAGCAUCGGAUCUUCGGACCUUGGGUGAUUCAAUGAGCCGAUGUCGGAUUAGCUAGUUGGCGGGGUAAAGGCCCACCAAGGCGACGAUCCGUAGCUGGUCUGAGAGGAUGAUCAGCCACACUGGAACUGAGACACGGUCCAGACUCCUACGGGAGGCAGCAGUGGGGAAUAUUGGACAAUGGGCGCAAGCCUGAUCCAGCCAUACCGCGUGUGUGAAGAAGGCCUUCGGGUUGUAAAGCCCUUUUGUUGGGAAAGAAAAGCAGCAGGUUAAUACCCCGCUGUUCUGACGGUACCCAAAGAAUAAGCACCGGCUAACUUCGUG